rnacentral:rRNA from 1 species
AGAUUGAACGCUGGCGGCAUGCCUAACACAUGCAAGUCGAACGGGAGUAGCAAUACUCUAGUGGCGGACGGGUGAGGAAUACGUAGGAAUUUGCCCUUAAGUGGGGGAUAACCCGGGGAAACCCGGAUUAAUACCGCAUGACCUCGAAAGAGCAAAGUGGGGGAUCGCAAGACCUCACGCUUUUGGAGAAGCCUACGUCGGAUUAGCUAGUUGGUGAGGUAAUGGCUCACCAAGGCGACGAUCCCGUAAACUGGGUCUGAGAAGGAUGAUCAGUCACACCGGAACUGAGACACGGUCCGGACUCCGUACGGAGCAGCAGUGGGGAAUAGUUGGACAAGUGGGGACGCAAAGGCCUAGACUCCAGGCAAUGGCCGCGUGUGUGAAGAAGG